rnacentral:lncRNA from 1 species
UCUCGGCGCCGCCCGCCCCGCCUCCCGAGAGGCUUCGGGGACUAGACGUUGGACGCGGAUUCUUCCAGCGCUGCGCCCCGGGUCCGCCUCCUCCUCCGAGAAGCACCCCCAGACCCCGCCAUCCUCCUCCUCCGGGAAGCCCCCCACCAGGCCUCGCCCUCCUCCUCCUCCGAGAAGCCCCCCUAGGCCUCGCCAUCUUCCUUCUCCGAGAAGCCCCCCAGGCCCCGCCAUCCUCCUCCUCUGGGAAGCCCCCGGCCUAGCCCUCCUCCUCCUCCUCCUCCGGGAAGCCCCCCUAGGUCUCGCCUUCCUUCUUCCCCGGGAAGCCCCCCACAGGCCUCGCCCUCCUGUUUCUCCGAAGAGCCCUCCUAAGCCUCGCCCUCCUCCUCCUCCAAGGAGCCCCCCUAAGCCUCGCCCUCUUCCUCCUCCGAGGAGCCCCCCAGGCCUCGCCCUCCUCCUCCCCCGGAAGCCAUCCCCGCUCCCCCGACCCCCUAACUUGCUCUCCUCCGGGGAGCCCCGGGGCCCCGCGGCACCAAGAAGUCGAAUGGGACCCCGAGGCCAAUCCGCCCGUGUUCGCCUCACGCGCCCCCUCAGCGCCAGGGCUGGGGGAGCCGUGCCUGCGCCCCGCGGCGCCCUUGUCGCGGGGUCUGGCUGUCCAGGCCCGGGGGCCCGGGUGUCAGGCUGGUAGCGGGAAGGAAGGCGCCGGCCUCCCCACCGUCUUCGUCCCGUGCGGCGUCCCCGGGAAGAGCCGCGGUCGGCACCCAGAGGGCCAUGGACGGGGAGCGCCCUGCGUGGUGUUCGUGGCGCUGGCCCGGUCUCCGCGGAUCGGAGGCGAAGCCAGCCUGGCCCUCGGGUCGCCCGUCUUUUGUCGAGCUGGCGACAUCAGUGCGGUUCCCACUGCCCCUCGCGUUUUCCACUGGACUCCCUGCUUUUUAUUGUUGAUUUGUGGGAGCUCUUUGCAUAGGAGCCCCGCCGUUGCAGUCUGGCGUCCUCGCAGGCGCGUGCCUUCGGAGCGCCGGGUGGGC